GUCUUAUUUAUCUUUAUUUCCUGAACUUCUAGAAGAGGCCUUAGAACAUAGUAGUUCCUCAGUGUAUAUAUAAUCAAUGAUUGAGGUCAGGGAGGCACAGUCAGUGAAUCCAUGCAUGGAAGAAAUAGGCUGUGAAAUAUGCUGGAGGCUUACUGCAUAUUUGAUGUAUUAUCAGAGUGAAAACCUAAUCAUGCAGUUGUUCAUCCUCAUUAAUAUGUAUAAGUCAUGUGUUCAUCUUUCAUUCUAAUAUAAUUCAACUGGGCCUUUUAAUAUUUCAGCCUCACCACUUGCUGGGCCCUGAUCCUUCUUUUUCUUCUGCCUCCUCACGUCUCCAACCAGAAGGGGAUCUUUUAGUCCUUCACUUCAUGGGGAGCCUUCAGAGAGAGUAAUGCAGCCACAAGAAAGGAUGCCGUUGACCGACACAGUGACUGACAGGCUGCCCUGGCUCAGUUAUCACAGUGCUGAUGCUGUCCAUUCUAAAGGUACAGUACUGUGAUAACUGAAGGAUGGCAGCCAUCUUGCCUUCCAUCAGAGGAUCCUCACCGUGCCCAGGAAGAAAGAAGGCAAAAGAGGAAUGUGAAACAGGUGGCCAGGACCCAGAAACCCUCUUACCCUGUACCUCUGUCGUACUUCUCCCGGGGCAUAGGGAGAGUUGUUCUGCUUCUCUUUGCCUUGUUUUGUAACAUGGGGUAGUUGUUGGGGCAGCAGUGUUGUGCUAAGUGAACAUAUAUUAAGAUCUUUGGAACCUUUAGGAGACUGAAAAUAGGUAAGUAUGAGUUAGUAUUUCUGGAAUGGUAGUCAGAGAACUUUGUACCACUUUUAUAAAUGUGAAAGGUAACUUAAUUAGAACAGCUUGGCACUUGUUGGUACACUGCUAGAUUUCAAAAUCAGAUUCUACUUACAGGGAGAAAAAAAAACCCAAUAUGUUCAACAGUAUUGAAAUUAUUACAUAAAUAAAAGUCCAUCAUUGUAGACCAGCUUACUGAAGUGAGGAAAGAAAAAAGUGUAUCUUUGUCUUGAAGGAGUAGAUAGUGACAUGUCAUAUUUCUUUCAGGAUAUUUAGGAUCUGGCCUAAUUCAAAAGAAUAUUUACUGAAUACCUAUGUUAUUGCUGCUGCUGUCACUUUUACAUGAAAAUAAAAUGCUCAUGUCUGUAUCAGGGAGCCUGUGGAUGUCUGACUGGUGUGGGAACCCAAAGCAGUGACCCAUAUGCUUGAGCAAAGAGAACGGAGAUGGCCGAGGUCAGGCCCUAAUUUGAACCGCAGAGAGAAGAGGGGCCAGGGAAGGGAAAACCAUACGUGAGUUUUGUUUGUUUGUUUGUUUUAAAGACAGAGUCUCAGUCUGUUGCCAGGCUGGAGUGCAGUGGCUCAAGUCUUGGCUCACUGCAGCCUCUGCCUCCCGGGGUCAAGCAAUCCUUGUGCCUCAGCCUGCCGAGUAGCUGGGAUUACAGGUGUGCACCACUGUGCCCAGCUAAUUUUGUAUUUUUGGUAGAGAUAGGGUUUCACCAUGUUGGCCAAACUGGUUUCGAACUCCUGUCCUCAAGUGAUUCUCCUACCUCAGCGUCUCAAAGUGCUGAGAUUACAGGCAUGAGCCACUGCACCCAGCCUCGUGUGACUUUUUAACGUACUGUGAACCUUACCUACUCUCAGCACUGCCAACUCCAUGUCUUAGAUAUGGGCCAGGUGUAUUAUCAGGUCCUCCACUGGGACACAAUGGGGAAGAAAGGGAACUGAAAGGGAGUAGCCCUGCUACAGAGAGGUUCUGUCUUAUCCUUCAUUGUGCCAGUCCUCAGACAUCGAUGGUCACUGUGUUCCUUUGCUGGCGAUUGCAGUUCCCUUUAGUGUCUCUUCCCUCUUUACCCAAAGAGGAAUCAUUCUUAGUAGUGACCCCUUGAACCACACUUGGUUGGCCCAGAACUGUUAUUUUUCAGAUACAUUGACCACAUGAUAGCCCGGUACCUUCACAUGUCCUCAUAGAUCCACAAUUUCUCUAAGCUGUGUAAGCUACACUAUGUUUUUCAUUAAUUACAGACAGAGAGGGCUCUCCCCGGUUAUUAUGCUACCACUCCUGAAAUUCCUUGGAGUUUUCUUAUAAGGAAUUUCUGACAGAAACUCUGGAAGAACCUUUAGGAAGGUAAAGUUAUGAGAUUGGUGAAUCCUCAAGUAAUCUGAAACACUCCUAAUGUUUAGUGUUUUAGCAGGUGGAAAAAAAGUGCUUCAAGAAGUAAUGUGUUGUGCAAUCAUUGGCCUUGGUGAAGAUUUCACUACCUUCCCUGAUCUUCCUGUUUUCCCCAUUACUAGUAUUAUAAAAAUUCAUUGGGUUUUAUACUUACCCAACCUUGACCUCAAAAUCUACAGCCAGGCCUGUGGGUUGUUGAAGAACUGAGUGUUGGGUGUCAUUUGCAGUCACCCCUGUGGACAGAGUUGUGCUGGGUACCCUUUCCUCUAAACAAGAAGGCUGAGGCUCAGUCAGCAGCAGGAGCUCCAGAAGCUUGCCUGGACCUGGAGGUCUUUGGCAUCUUCAAGGCAUUUCUUAGAUGUAAGGUGUUCCAACAGGUUAAGUGAGAAGUAAUGCAAGACAGAUCCGAUGGGGUUUUUCCACUGCCUUGCUUAAAACACAGUAUGUGUUUGGUUGGUGUAUUCAUUGCAUUUUUCAGUUUAGGUGAAGUAUGUGAGAAUGGGAAGAUUGCAGUUAAACCUAGAAAUACCAUAUAAUCCAGCAAUUCCACUUCUGGAUACAUACCCAAAAGAUGUGAAAGGCGGCAGUCUGACAGAUAUUGUACACCCAUGUUUAUAGCAACAUGAUUCACAAUAGCUAAAAGGUAGGAGCAACCCCAGCGUCCAUUGAUGGAUAAGUAGAUAAAUGAAAUGUAGCGUAUACCUACAUUGGAAUAUGAUUCAGCCUUAAAAGGAAGAAAAUUCUGACAUAUGCUACAACAUGGAUGAACCUUGAAGAUACCAUGCUAAGUGAAAUAAGCCAAACACAAAAGGACAUAUACUGUAUGAUUCCACUCAUAUGAGGCCCCUAGAGUUGUUAAAUUCAUACAGCCAGGAAUCUGAUGGUUGCCAGGAGCUGGGGGAGAGGGAGAAAUGGAGAGUUAGUGUUUGAUGAAGUUGUAUUUGGGGAAGAUGAAAAAAUUCUGGAGAUAGAUGAUGGUAGUUGUACAACACCAUGAAUGUACUUAAUGCCACAAUGUACACCUAAAAAUGGAAAAUUUUAUGUGUAUUUUACCACAAUAAAAGAGAUUCAGGAUCAUAACCCUCUUCAAGCCAAAAA